rnacentral:rRNA from 1 species
CACGUAGGGGGCAAGCGUUGUCCGGAUUUAUUGGGCGUAAAGAGCUCGUAGGCGGUUCGCUAAGUCGGGUGUGAAAACUCUGGGCUCAACUCAGAGACGCCACCCGAUACUGGCGUGACUCGAGUCCGGUAGGGGAGCAUGGAAUUCCUGGUGUAGCGGUGAAAUGCGUAGAUAUCUGGAGGAAUACCGGUGGCGAAGGCGGCAUCCUGGACCGACAUUGACGCUGAACGGCGAAAGCUAGGGGAGCAAACGGG